rnacentral:misc_RNA from 1 species
AUCUGUUGUUAUGCGGAUUCCCGUAUGUUCCGCAUUAUAUUCUUUUUCAGGUCGGGCUGUAGCGCUUGGGUCUUGCGCAAUGGAGUCCUGUGAACCUCGUCAGGUCCGGAAGGAAGCAGCGAUAAGCGGGGUGCUCCAUGUGCCGCGAGGGUGCCUGGGAGCUGCAGUUCGACGUGAAAAAGAAUGGAU